rfam:Gossypium hirsutum cultivar TM-1 chromosome 13, whole genome shotgun sequence
GGAUGUGAUCAUACUAGCACUAAUAUACUGGAUUCCAUCAAAACACUAUAGUUAAGCGUGCUUGGGCAAGAUUAGUACUAGGAUGGGUGACCUCUUUGGAAGUCCCAUGUUGCACCCC